CCCCUCUCAGGAUCACACCUGGAGAGUUUCCAGGACUCUACCAGUCUCGACUAUGGUGGGGAGAGUCAUCUGGAGGCAUACUCAUUCCAUUUCUAGCUUGGGCAGUGGCUAGAGAGUGGAAGACAAUCUGUUACAAGU